rnacentral:rRNA from 1 species
CCUGGCGGCGGCUUACCAUGCAAGUCGAACGAUGAAAUCUAGCUUGCUAGAUGGAUUAGUGGCGAACGGGUGAGUAAUGCUUAGGAAUCUGCCUAUUAGUGGGGGAUAACCAUCCGAAAGGAUGGCUAAUACCGCAUACGUCUUACGAGAGAAAGGGGGCUUUUAGCUCUCGCUAAUAGAUGAGCCUAAGUCGGAUUAGCUAGUUGGUGGGGUAAAGGCCUACCAAGGCGACGAUCUGUAGCUGGUCUGAGAGGAUGAUCAGCCACACUGGGACUGAGACACGGCCCAGACUCCUACGGGAGGCAGCAGUGGGGAAUAUUGGACAAUGGGCGAAAGCCUGAUCCAGCCAUGCCGCGUGUGUGAAGAAGGCCUUUUGGUUGUAAAGCACUUUAAGUGGGGAGGAAAAGCUUGUGGUUAAUACCCAUUAGCCCUGACGUUACCCACAGAAUAAGCACCGGCUAACUCUGUGCCAGCAGCCGCGGUAAU